UUGGAAAGCAUCUCCAUUGAGAGAGAGAUUUAAACUCUCCGGGAAUUCCUUUUCCCGCCUUCAUUGCAUUCUACUGCAAUUGUUGUCGAAAGCUAGAAGACAGACAAUCUUCUUGAGCUUCAGCAGCUAUGCCUCGGCACCGAAGGUCCCUACAAACCUAGGAAAUGAUGAAGAAGAUCACAUUGAAACGAUCUUAAGGAAAGAUAUGUCAGACUCUUGAGCUUCGUGAGUUUCAACCACCAUGCCUCAGCCCCAAUGGCCCCUACGAACCCAACAAAUGACACUACUUGUACUAUUUUGGUUUGUUUAUGUAUUGAUGCAAAUAAGAUAAUUCCAAACAACCUCUAAUUGUUAAAUGUUGUUUAGGCAAAAGAGGAGCUUACAGACAGCAGCCAAGACAGUUAAGGAUUUGGAAAGCAUCUCCAUUGAACAGAUCUUGAGAGAGAUUUAAACUCUCCGGGAAUUCCUUUUCCCGCCUUCAUUGCAUUCUACAAACCUAGGUAAGAUG